rnacentral:rRNA from 1 species
GGACGAACGCUGGCGGCGUGCUUAACACAUGCAAGUCGAACGGGGAUAUUUAGAAGAAGCUACUUGUAGUGGACUUUAAAUAUUCUAGUGGCGAACGGGUGAGUAACGCGUGAGGACUUACCCAUUUCCGGGGGAUAACAGUUGGAAACAGCUGCUAAUACCGCAUAAGCCUAAGGGUAAAAGAAGUAAUUCGGGAAUGGAGAGACUCGCGUCCUAUCAGCUAGUAGGUGAGAUAAGAGCUUACCUAGGCGAAGACGGGUAACCGGACUGAGAGGUCGAACGGUCACACUGGAACUGAGACACGGUCCAGACUCCUACGGGAGGCAGCAGUGGGGAAUUUUGGGCAAUGGGGGGAACCCUGACCCAGCGACGCCGCGUGAGUGAAGAAAUUCCUCGGAAUGUAAAGCUCUGUUGUAUGGGAAGAUAAUGACGGUACCAUACGAGGAAGCCCCGGCAAACUACGUGCCAGCAGCCGCGGUAAUACGUAGGGGGCAAGCGUUGUCCGGAAUUACUGGGCGUAAAGCGCACGCAGGCGGAAUUGUAAGUCCGUUGUAAAAUUCAGAGGCUCAACCUCUGUCUGUCGGCGGAUACUGCAAAUCUAGAGUAUGUGAGAGGGAAGUGGAAUUCCUGGUGUAGCGGUGAAAUGCGUAGAUAUCAGGAGGAACUCCGGUGGCGAAGGCGACUUCCUGGCACAAGACUGACGCUCAUGUGCGAAAGCUAGGGUAGCGAACGGGAUUAGAUACCCCGGUAGUCCUAGCCGUAAAUGAUGGAUACUAGGUGUGGGUGUCGCAGGGCAUCCGUGCCGCAGUUAACGCGUUAAGUAUCCCGCCUGGGGACUACGGUCGCAAGACUGAAACUCAAAGGAAUUGACGGGGGCCCGCACAAGCGGUGGAGCACGUGGUUUAAUUCGAUGCAAACCGAAGAACCUUACCUGGGUUUGACAUAGCAGUGGUAGGGAAGCGAAAGCGGACCGACCCUUCGGGGAGCUGUUACAGGUGUUGCAUGGCUGUCGUCAGCUCGUGUCGUGAGAUGUUCGGUUAAGUCCGCUAACGAGCGCAACCCGCGUUGUGUGUUACAAGUGUCACACAAUACCGCCGGUAUUAAGUCGGAGGAAGGUGCGGAUGACGUCAAGUCAGCAUGACCUUUAUAUCCAGGGCUACACACACGCUACAAUGGUCAGCACAAUAGGUUGCCAAGUCGUGAGACGGAGCCAAUCCUCCAAAGCUGGCCUCAGUUCAGAUUGUAGGCUGCAACCCGCCUGCAUGAAGUUGGAGUUGCUAGUAACCGCAGGUCAGCAAUACUGCGGUGAAUACGUUCCCGGGGAU